rnacentral:rRNA from 1 species
UACGUAGGUGGCAAGCGUUGUCCGGAUUUACUGGGCGUAAAGAGCACGCAGGCGGUCGCUCAAGUCGCGUGUGAAAGCCCCCGGCUCAACUGGGGAGGGUCACGCGAUACUGAUCGACUGGAAGGCAGGAGAGGGUAGUGGAAUUCCCGGUGUAGUGGUGAAAUGCGUAGAUAUCGGGAGGAACACCAGUGGCGAAGGCGACUACCUGGCCUGUUCUUGACGCUGAGGCGCGAAAGCUAGGGGAGCAAACGGG